rnacentral:rRNA from 1 species
AUUGCACGCUGGCGGCAGGCUUAACACAUGCAAGUCGAGCGAGCGGCGGACGGGUGAGUAAUGUCUGGGAAACUGCCUGAUGGAGGGGGAUAACUACUGGAAACGGUAGCUAAUACCGCAUACCAUCAGAUGUGCCCAGAUGGGAUUCGCUAGUAGGUGGGGUAAUGGCUCACCUAGGCGACGCUCCCUAGCUGGUCUGGGAGGAUGACCAGUCACACUGGAACUGAGACACGUUCCCGACUCCGACGGGAGGGCGCAGUGGGGAAUAUUGCACAAUGGGCGCAAGCCUGAUGCAGCCAUGCCGCGUGGAUGAAGAAGGCCUUCGGGUUGUAAAGUACUUUCAGCGAGGAGGCGUUACUCGCAGAAGAAGCACCGGCUAACUCCGUGCCAGCCGCCGCGGUAAUAC